rnacentral:rRNA from 1 species
UACGAAGGGGGCUAGCGUUGUUCGGAAUUACUGGGCGUGAAGCGCGUGUAGGCGGGUCUUUAAGUCAGGGGUGAAAUGCCAAGGCUCAACCUUGGAACUGCCUUUGAUACUGGAGAUCUUGAGUCCGGGAGAGGUGAGUGGAAUUGCGAGUGUAGAGGUGAAAUUCGUAGAUAUUCGCAAGAACACCAGUGGCGAAGGCGGCUCACUGGCCCGGAACUGACGCUGAGACGCGAAAGCGUGGGGAGCAAACAGG